UACGUAGGGCGCAAGCGUUGUCCGGAAUUAUUGGGCGUAAAGCGCGUGUAGGCGGCUUUGCAAGUCGGGUGUGAAAGCCCUCAGCUUAACUGAGGAAGUGCGCCCGAAACUGCAUGGCUUGAGUACCGGAGAGGAUGGCGGAAUUCCCGAAGUAGAGGUGAAAUUCGUAGAUAUCGGGAGGAACACCGGUGGCGAAGGCGGCCAUCUGGACGGAUACUGACGCUGAGACGCGAAAGCGUGGGGAGCAAAAGGG
rnacentral:rRNA from 1 species